AAUUUUGGACAAUGGGGGAAACCCUGAUCCAGCCAUCGCGCGGGUAUGAUGAAGGCCUUCGGGUUGUAAAGUACUUUUGGCUGAGAAGAAAAGGUAUACCCUAAGACGGGAUACUGCUGAAGGUAGCGCCAGAAUACGCACUGGCUAACUACGUGCAAGCAUCCGCGGUAAUACGUAGGGUUCAAGCGUUAAUCGGAAUUACUGGGCGUAAAGCGUGGUGAGGCGGUUCGGAUAGGAAGAUGUGAAAUCCCAGCGCUCAACCUUGGAACUGCAUUUUUAACUGCCGAGCUAGAGUAUGUCAGAGGGGGGUAGAAUUCCACGUGUAGCAGUGAAAUGCGUAGAUAUGUGGAGGAAUACCGAUGGCGAAGGCAGCCCCCUGGGAUAAUACUGACGCUCAGACACGAAAGCGUGGGGAGCAAACAGG
rnacentral:rRNA from 1 species